GACGAACGCUGGCGGCGUGCCUAAUACAUGCAAGUAGAACGCUGAAGUAGGAGCUUGCUCUUCUGGAUGAGUUGCGAACGGGUGAGUAACGCGUAGGUAACCUGCCUGGUAGCGGGGGAUAACUAUUGGAAACGAUAGCUAAUACCGCAUAAGAGUAGAUGUUGCAUGACAUUUGCUUAAAAGGUGCAAUUGCAUCACUACCAGAUGGACCUGCGUUGUAUUAGGUAGUUGGUGGGGUAACGGCUCACCAAGGCGACGAUACAUAGCCGACCUGAGAGGGUGAUCGGACAAACUGGGACUGAGACACGGCCCAGACGCCUACGGGAGGCAGCAGUAGGGAAUCUUCGGCAAUGGACGGAAGUCUGAACGAGCAACGCCGCGUGAGUGAAGAAGGUUUUCGGAUCGUAAAGAUCUGUUGUAAGAGAAGAAAGAGUGUGAGAGUGGAAAGUUCACACUGUGACGGUAUCUUACCAGAAAGGGACGGCUAACUACGUG
rnacentral:rRNA from 1 species